AGAGUUUGAUCCUGGCUCAGAAUCAACGCUGGCGGCGUGCCUAACACAUGCAAGUCGAACGCGAAAGUGGAGCAAUCCAUGAGUAGAGUGGCAAACGGGUGAGUAACACGUGGGUGACCUGCCUUCGAGCGGGGGAUAACGUCCCGAAAGGGACGCUAAUACCGCAUAACAUCCUGCCUUUUAAGAGGUGGCGAUCAAAGCCGGGGAUUCGCAAGAACCUGGCACUUGAAGAGGGGCCCGCGCCUGAUUAGCUAGUUGGUGGGGUAAUGGCUCACCAAGGCAACGAUCAGUAUCCGGCCUGAGAGGGCGGACGGACACACUGGGACUGAGACACGGCCCAGACUCCUACGGGAGGCAGCAGUGGGGAAUUGUUCGCAAUGGGCGCAAGCCUGACGACGCAACGCCGCGUGGAGGAUGAAGACCUUCGGGUCGUAAACUCCUUUCGAUCGAGACGAAUGGUUUCCGGGUGAACAAUCCGGAAAAGUGACGGUACCGAGAGAAGAAGCCCCGGCUAACUCCGUGCCAGCAGCCGCGGUAAUACGGGGGGGGCAAGCGUUGUUCGGAAUUACUGGGCGUAAAGGACUCGUAGGUGGCCAACUAAGUCAGACGUGAAAUCCCUCAGCUUAACUGGGGAACUGCGUCUGAUACUGGAUGGCUUGUGUUUGGGAGAGGGAUGCGGAAUUCCAGGUGUAGCGGUGAAAUGCGUA
rnacentral:rRNA from 1 species